rnacentral:rRNA from 1 species
AACGAACGCUGGCGGCAGGCCUAACACAUGCAAGUCGAACGAGAAGCCACCUUCGGGUGGUGGACAGUGGCAGACGGGUGAGUAACGCGUGGGAACAUGCCUUUCGGUUCGGGAUAACCCAGGGAAACUUGGGCUAAUACCGGGUACGCCCUCCGGGGGAAAGAUUCAUCGCCGAAAGAUCGGCCCGCGUCGGAUUAGCUAGUUGGUAGGGUAAUGGCCUACCAAGGCGACGAUCCGUAGCUGGUCUGAGAGGAUGACCAGCCACACUGGGACUGAGACACGGCCCAGACUCCUACGGGAGGCAGCAGUGGGGAAUAUUGGACAAUGGGCGAAAGCCUGAUCCAGCCAUGCCGCGUGGGUGAAGAAGGCCUUAGGGUUGUAAACCCCUUUCAGCGGGGAAGAUAAUGACGGUACCCGCAGAAGAAGUCCCGGCUAACUCCGUGCCAGCCGCCGCAGUAAAAC